UACGUAGGGGGCAAGCGUUAUCCGGAUUUACUGGGUGUAAAGGGAGCGUAGACGGCAAUGCAAGUCUGGAGUGAAAACCCGGGGCUCAACCCCGGGACUGCUUUGGAAACUGUGUUGCUAGAGUGCAGGAGAGGUAAGUGGAAUUCCUAGUGUAGCGGUGAAAUGCGUAGAUAUUAGGAGGAACACCAGUGGCGAAGGCGGCUUACUGGACUGUAACUGACGUUGAGGCUCGAAAGCGUGGGGAGCGAACAGGAUUAGAUACCCUCGUA
rnacentral:rRNA from 1 species